UCACAGUUUGCACUGGCAGUCUUGUUGGAGUUCCCGACUUGACUCGCUGGCAACUAACAACAGGGGUUGCGCUCGUUAUAGGACUUAACCUGACACCUCACGGCACGAGCUGACGACAACCAUGCAGCACCUCGACUAGUGUCCCUUGCGGGAAAAAAGACUUUCAUCCCCUGUCACUAGCCGUUCGAGCCCAGGUAAGGUUCUUCGCGUUGCGUCGAAUUAAACCACAUGCUCCACCGCUUGUGCGGGCCCCCGUCAAUUCCUUUGAGUUUCAACCUUGCGGCCGUACUUCCCAGGCGGAAUACUUAAUGGGUUACCUACGGUACCGCAGGGGUCAAUACCCGCGACACCUAGCAUUCAUCGUUUACGGCGUGGACUAC
rnacentral:misc_RNA from 1 species